rnacentral:rRNA from 1 species
AUUGAACGCUGGCGGAAUGCUUUACACAUGCAAGUCGAACGGCAGCAUAGGUGCUUGCACCUGAUGGCGAGUGGCGAACGGGUGAGUAAUACAUCGGAACGUGCCCAGUCGUGGGGGAUAACGUAGCGAAAGUUACGCUAAUACCGCAUACGAUCUAAGGAUGAAAGCGGGGGACCGUAAGGCCUCGCGCGGUUGGAGCGGCCGAUGGCAGAUUAGGUAGUUGGUGAGGUAAAGGCUCACCAAGCCGACGAUCUGUGGCUGGUCUGAGAGGGCGACCAGCCACACUGGGACUGAGACACGUCCCAGACUCCUACGGGAGGCAGCAGUGGGGAAUUUUGGACAAUGGACGCAAGUCUGAUCCAGCCAUUCCGCGUGCAGGACGAAGGCCUUCGGGUUGUAAACUGCUUUUGUACGGAACGAAAAAGCUCUUACUAAUACUAGGAGUCCAUGACGGUACCGUAAGAAUAAGCACCGGCUAACUACGUGCCAGCCGCCGCAGUAA